CAUACGAAGAAACUGAAGCCCAAAGGGUCUCAGUCUCGCCUAGGCUGGAGUGCAGUGGUACAAACAAGGCUCACUGCAAUGUUGACCUUCUGGGCUCAAGUGAUCCUGCCACCUCAGCCUCCCAAGUAGCUGGAACUACUGACACUCACCACCAUCCCUGGCUAAUUUUUUUAUUGGCUCUCACUAUGUUACCCAGGAGUGAUCCUCCCAUCUUGGCCUUCCAAAAUGUUGGGAUCUAUUGAUUUUUAAUUUCACUCUAAUUUUCCUUGUGAUUUCUUCUUUGACUCAUUGGCUAUAUAGAGGGUAUUGAUUAAUUUCCACAUUUUGUUCAUAUCCCCAAAUUUCUCCAUUAUUGAUUUCUGAUUUGAUUCCAUUGUGGUUGAUAAAUAUACUUUGUAUGAUUUCAAUCAUUUUAUAUUUAUUGAGGUUGUUUUAUGGCAUAAAAUAGUCUAUCCUGAAGACUGUUCCUUUGUACUUGAGAAGAACAUGUAUUCUUCUGCUGUCAGGAGGACUGUUCUCCAGAUAUUUGUUAAGUAUUGUUGGUGUAUAGUGUUACUCAAGUCUUCUAUAUACUUAUUAAUCUUCUGUCUAGUCAUUAUGGAUAGUCAGUUGUUUGAAUUUCAAACUAUUAUUUUUGAAUUGUCUAUUUCUUUUUUCAGUUCUGUCCAUUUUUGCUUCAGGUAUUUUGGGGCAUUAUGAUUAAAUGUAUACAUGUUUUUAACUCUUACAUCUUUAUGAUGAAUUGGCAUGUUUUAUCAUUAUGAAAUAUGGCUUUUCUUCUCUGAUAGUGUUUCUUGUAUUAAAGUCUAUUUUAAAUAAUGUUAAUACAGCUACUUCAGCUGUCAUAGAGUUACUGAUUUCAUACUUUACCUUUUUUACAUCAUUUUGCUUUUUAUUUAUUUAUGUAUUUGAAUAUAAUGUGUGUCUAUUAUAGACAGUGUAUACUUGGGUCUUGUUUCUAUCAAAUCUGACAAUCCUUUCCUUUUAUGUGUUGUGCUUGGUUUAUUUGCUUUUCAUGUAUUAAGUAUUGCUACAGUUGGAUUUAUGCCUGUCAUUUUUCUAUUUGCUUUCUAUUUAUUUAUUUAUUGCUGUAGAGUCUUGCUCUGUCUCCAAAGCUGGAGCGCAGUGGUGUGAUCAUAGCUCACUGUAGCCUUGACCUCAGAGGCUCAAGAAAUCCUCUUGCCUUAGCUUCAUCAGUAGCUGGGACUACAGGUGCCUAUCAUGAUGCCUUGCCAAAUUUCUACUUUUUGUAGAGAUGGGGGUCUCACUGUGUUGCUCAGGCUGAUCUUGAACUCCUGGGCUCAAGACUUCCUCCUACCUUGGCCUUCCAAGUUGCUAAGAUUACAGGUGUGAGCCGCUGCAACCAGGCUCAUUUUAAAUAUAUUCCUCUGUUUCUCAUUUACUGUUAUAUUUUGUGAUAUAUAAAUGGUUUUUCUAAUCUAUCAUUUUAAUUCCUCUGUUGUUUGUGUUAAUAUUAUUUCUUAGUGGUUGCUACAAUAAUUACAAUAUGCAUCUCAUCUAAUCAUAAUCCAUUUAAGAAUAGUACCAACUUAAUUCCAGUAAAAUAUAAUAUCUUUAUUUACUUACAUACCCUUUUCUUCUUCUCUUUACUUUGUGCGAUUACUUCACCAAAUAUGUUAUAAAUCCAACACUAUAAUAUUAUAAUUAUGUU
rnacentral:lncRNA from 10 species